rnacentral:rRNA from 1 species
AUGAACGCUAGCGGCAGGCUUAACACAUGCAAGUCGAGGGGUAUACUUCUUCGGAAGCAGAGACCGGCGCACGGGUGCGUAACGCGUAUGCAAUCUACCUUUUACAGAGGGAUAGCCCAGAGAAAUUUGGAUUAAUACCUCAUAGUAUUAUGAAAUGGCAUCAUUUUAUAAUUAAAGUCACAACGGUAAAAGAUGAGCAUGCGUCCCAUUAGCUAGUUGGUAAGGUAACGGCUUACCAAGGCUACGAUGGGUAGGGG